UACGUAGGGGGCAAGCGUUAUCCGGAAUCACUGGGUGUAAAGGGAGCGUAGACGGCUGUGCAAGCCUGAAGUGAAAGGCGGGGGCCCAACCCCCGGACUGCUUUGGGAACUGUACGGCUGGAGUGCAGGAGAGGUAAGUGGAAUUCCUAGUGUAGCGGUGAAAUGCAUAGAUAUCGCGCAGAACUCCGAUUGCGAAGGCAGCGUACCGGCGCCAGACUGACGCUGAGGCACGAAAGCGUGGGGAUCGAACAGG
rnacentral:rRNA from 1 species